GCCACCAAGGCGACGAUUGGUAGCCGGACUGAGAGGUUGAACGGCCACAUUGGGACUGAGAUACGGCCCAGACUCCUACGGGAGGCAGCAGUCGGGAAUAUUGCGCAAUGGAGGAAACUCUGACGCAGUGACGCCGCGUGCAGGAAGAAGGUUUUCGGAUUGUAAACUGCUUUAGACAGGGAAGAAAGAAAUGACAGUACCUGUAGAAUAAGCUCCGGCUAACUAC
rnacentral:rRNA from 1 species